rnacentral:rRNA from 1 species
CAGCCGCCGCGGGAACACGUAGGUGGCAAGCGUUGUCCGGAAUUAUUGGGCGUAAAGGGCUCGCAGGCGGUUUCUUAAGUCUGAUGUGAAAGCCCCCGGCUCAACCGGGGAGGGUCAUUGGAAACUGGGAAACUUGAGUGCAGAAGAGGAGAGUGGAAUUCCACGUGUAGCGGUGAAAUGCGUAGAGAUGUGGAGGAACACCAGUGGCGAAGGCGACUCUCUGGUCUGUAACUGACGCUGAGGAGCGAAAGCGUGGGGAGCGAACAGGAUUAGAUACCCCGGUAGUCCCUGUCUCUUAUAC